AGAGUUUGAUCAUGGCUCAGAUUGAACGCUGGCGGCAGGCCUAACACAUGCAAGUCGAGCGGAUGACGGGAGCUUGCUCCUUGAUUCAGCGGCGGACGGGUGAGUAAUGCCUAGGAAUCUGCCUGGUAGUGGGGGACAACGUUUCGAAAGGAACGCUAAUACCGCAUACGUCCUACGGGAGAAAGCAGGGGACCUUCGGGCCUUGCGCUAUCAGAUGAGCCUAGGUCGGAUUAGCUUGUUGGUGAGGUAAUGGCUCACCAAGGCGACGAUCCGUAACUGGUCUGAGAGGAUGAUCAGUCCCACUGGAACUGAGACACGGUCCAGACUCCUACGGGAGGCAGC
rnacentral:rRNA from 1 species